rnacentral:rRNA from 1 species
UAAGACAGAGGGCUCAAACGUUGUUCGGAAUUACUGGGCAUAAAGCGCACGCAGGCGGCUUGCUAAGUCGGGUGUGAAAUCCCUUGGCUCAACCGAGGAACUGCAUUCGAUACUGGUAGGCUCGAGGACGGGAGGGGUAAGCGGAACUCCAGGUGGAACGGUGAAAUGUGUAGAUAUCUGGAGGAACACCGGUGGCGAAAGCGGCUUACUGGCCCGUAUCUGACGCUCAUGUGCGAAAGCUAGGGGAGCAAACGGGAUUAGAUACCCCGGUAGUCCUAGCUGUAAACGAUGGGCACUGGGCAGUGGGAUUCCUAUGAUUCUCCCUGCCGUAGCAAAUGUGUUAAGUGCCCCGCCUGGGGAGUACGUUCGCAAGGAUA